rnacentral:rRNA from 1 species
UCACUUACCAUGCAAGCAUCAACGCCCCGGUGAAGAAGCCUAAGACCCCCUCCUAGGGGGUCUUGGGGCCGGCAUCAGGCACAACAAACAGCCCAAAACGCCUAGCACCACCACACCCACAAGGGUCAACAGCAGUGAUUAAUAUUAGAUAUUAGCGCAAGCCUGAUUUAGUCAUAGUAGUUUCGGGCCGGCAAACUCUGUGCCAGCAGCCGCGGUUAAACCGCUAGGGCCCAAAUUGAUGUUCACUCGGCGUAAAAGGUGAUUAAAGUAUUCAUAACGCUAGAAUUAAACCCAAACUUAAACGUAAUAAUUUUGUUUACGGGAAGCCCAAACACGAAAGUUAUUCUACCCCCCCCCCCCCC